rnacentral:rRNA from 1 species
AUUGAACGCUGGCGGCAGGCUUAACACAUGCAAGUCGAGCGGAGAUGAGGUGCUUGCACCUUAUCUUAGCGGCGGACGGGUGAGUAAUGCUUAGGAAUCUGCCAUUUAGUGGGGGACAACAUUCCGAAAGGAAUGCUAAUACCGCAUACGUCCUACGGGAGAAAGCAGGGGAUCUUCGGACCUUGCGCUAAAUGAUGAGCCUAAGUCGGAUUAGCUAGUUGGUGGGGUAAAGGCCUACCAAGGCGACGAUCUGUAGCGGGUCUGAGAGGAUGAUCCGCCACACUGGGACUGAGACACGGCCCAGACUCCUACGGGAGGCAGCAGUGGGGAAUAUUGGACAAUGGGCGGAAGCCUGAUCCAGCCAUGCCGCGUGUGUGAAGAAGGCCUUUUGGUUGUAAAGCACUUUAAGCGAGGAGGAGGCUACUAGUACUAAUACUACUGGAUAGUGGACGUUACUCGCAGAAUAAGCACCGGCUAACUCUGUG